ACAUUUUUUUGGGAAGGUUCUUUCGAUGGUUUUUUUGUGUGUGGAAGUUCUUUCGAUGGUUGUUUUCUUUUGAUAAUCGUUGUUCUUUGUAUGGCCAGACAGUUUCCAGGUGGUUCACAUUUUUACAGGAGGCACAUGCUUUUGUUCAUCUUGCUUCUUGGUAAUACAUUUUGUUGUUGUUUUGGCAUGUACAAGAUGUGAAUUUAUUAGUGUUGCUUCAGAGUGAGUCUGGACCAUGCUGGUUCUAAUAAUGUGUUCUUUGAUGCUUCUGCGGGUUGUAUAUUUUUACAUGCUCAGUGUGGGUAAACACAUGGAGUUUUUCUAUCUCUCUUGACUUCUCACUUUAACUUUUCGGGACAUGAACAUUAAAGUUACCAUGGCUACCAUAAAAAGGCAUAUUAUGGCCUAAUAAACUCUUAGUUGCAUUGUAUAUAGUACUGAUGAUAUGCUUUCUAUCUGUCCUAAUGUAAUUCAGGAAAUUUCUUUGCAAGGAAAAAUAUUAUCUAUAGUUAAAAGAUACAAUUCUUAUUGUGGAGAUCAACAUGUUCUUGUUAUAUCAUUUUCUGAAGUAGCUACCUCUUGAAAUACAAAUGUAGUAGGGUCAAUAAAUUUUUGGAUGAGAAGUGUAUGUUUAGAGUUGCUAAAUAAGUUUACAUACCAUCGACUCUUCAUAAAUCAAGUGUAUUGUUCCUUGAUUUACUAGAAGAAAAUACAGUAUAUGUCAUGGAGUCAUCUUAUUGAGACUUUUCUUCCGCAGAUACUAUAGAUGCUUUGUGAGAGGAUGCUUCUACUGGAGACCAUGAUCCAGUCCAAUGAUUUAUCCGGCAAGGAGGUGAGCUCACAUGUAAACAUGUGUUUGUUUAAGACACUAAAAAAAACACCCAUCUUCUGAAAUGCUUUCCUCUAUUGUCGUAAUUGAAGGAAAAAUCUAAUGUAUUUCUAGAAUUUGUUAAUGUGAUCAGAAUUAUGAAUAGGAAGUAUAUUGUGUCAUUAUUAUAGAAUGGAGCUCUGAUUUUAAUAUACAAGGUAAGCUCAUGGAAAUGUAAAUAAUAAUUCAACAUUCAAAUUCUUCAUGCCAACCUGAAACUUGGAACACAACAGAAUUCAGUGAACUCACUCUAAACAAAUUUUGUGAUGGUGUCCGCAUUCACUGGUCGCACAAUGCAGGAGAAGCAUUGUUGGGGUCCUCAUUGUCACCAAGGGGAUGCAACCUACAUCAAUCGUGUAGAGAUCCACUGAUGUGUCCGUGCCCAUGUUGUGCUUCACCGAGCUUCAGGAAAAAUAAUCUAUUUCUGGGAUUAGUCCUCAACAAGCAAGAAGAAGUGCCAUCACUGGUAUGAAACCCAUGCCAGGGGAAGGGAUUCCAUCACUGCCUUUUGAUCAGCAAGUGUAAUCUCCAGUGAUGAUCGUCCCUGUUCAGCAUUCAUCAACAGAAUGCCAUCUUCAGUGCCCCUCUCUAGGCCCUCACUCUGAAUUCUUUCGGUUUUAAGUAAGGAAACAAUCUAUAUGCAUCUAAACAAUUUUUUUCCAAUUUAUUGCUGCUUUGCUAUGACACUGUUUCUAGAUCUUGUUCAUAGUGUUCGAGUUUACAUAGUCUCAGUAUUCACUGAAUAAUAUGAGAGGAUUGGUUGAUGCUACAUAUACAGCCAAGUUUCUACACACUUGCAUCAGUUUGCAGAUAUUUCCAGUUAAAAGAUUGUACUCUGCUCUGAGCUGGGCAUUCUAUUUCUCUGUAAAAAAAUUGCUUGCUUUGUUUGUCAACCCUUGCUUAUUUAUUUUUUGUUCGUUUUGGAUGCAGUAGGUGCCCUCCCUCCAUGGACGAGGAGGACAUUGACCUAGACCUUGACGACGACGUCGUCCACCCCACACAAGGUCGUUGCCACGCAAUAAACUUCUUUUCUUCUUCCAUUCCAAGUUACCUCUGCUCUGUUUCUGCAAUAGACUCAUUGUUCACUAGCUAUAGAUCCCUAUGUUGUUGUUGGUGGUGGUUGGCGAGGUGACGCUGGAAGGCGCGGAGGCGUCGUCGACGAAAGAGAAAAAGAAGAGGACAUACCGUACAGCUGCCCACCACUGCUCACCUCGAUGGCUCGACCACCUCUGCUGUGCCGCAGACGACACAGGGGGAGGCCGAGGUGAUCAUCGACGGUGCUCACCCCGACCCCAUUGGGAUCUAGGGGAAGGGGCUAUGGCGGCAGCGGCACUGGGAGAGGCGGCGGCACUGGGAGAGGCAGCGGCGCUCGGAGAGGAGGCACCUACUUUAUUUCUACUUCUACUUUUCUUCUGCACCUAUAGUUUCAAUGCUUUAUCUGCUCGUGGAGCUAUGCUUCUGUUGCAUUGGGCUAAGGUUUGAUUGCUUGAAGGUGUAUGUCAAGGUGUAAGUGCAGACUCAUUGUUGAUGAUGAAUACUGUGGAGUAAGAAUGAUCUGGCUCAGCAAUUUUCUGGUUCAGGUCGUUGACAUAUUCGGGUUCUAGGUCACAUAAAUAAAAUUUAGAGUUAAUUGAUCUGGCUCAGCAAUUUUCUGCAUUAGAUAUCUUUUUAUGCUUAGUUUUUUUUUGUGAAUUCUACAAUUUGUAGCUUUGUGCUAAACUGACAUUUUUUAGUCAACCUACAUUCCUGGAUGUUUUCAAAUUGAUAAUAUUUUCGUAAGUUUAGGUUUGCACUUGGCUUUAUUAGAAUUAGAAUAUAGAAAAUGUGUUGGAGAAGUGCCUAUUUUGAAGAUUCAUUGCUUUAACCAUUUGUUUUUAUGAAAUAAUAUUCAGUCAGUUUAAAAUUAUUUUCAUGUAGAUUGGAUUUUGUUAUAGGAACACUCAAAGAAACUAAAGUUUGAUCAUGGAAAGGUCCAACUUAAAUUUAUUUAUUUGUAUUAACAAACUUUUCAGUGAUCAUAAUUUAAU
rnacentral:lncRNA from 1 species